rnacentral:ncRNA from 1 species
CAAAGGUUUGGUCCUAGCCUUACUGUUAAUUCUAAUUAGACCUACACAUGCAAGUUUCCGCUAACCGGUGAGAAUGCCCUUAAAAACUAUAUAAAGUUAAAAGGAGCUGGUAUCAGGCACACCCCCUGGGUAGCCCAUUACACCUUGCUUAACCACACCCCCACGGGAUACAGCAGUGACUAACAUUAAGCCAUAAACGAAAGUUUGACUGAGUCAUAAUUUAGCAGGGUUGGUAAAUUUCGUGCCAGCCACCGCGGUCAUACGAUUAACCCAAAUUAACAGACCACCGGCGUAAAGCGUGUUUAAGUACAAUAUUCUAAUAAAGUUAAAACCUAACUAAGCUGUAAAACGUUAUAGUUAAUAUCAAAAUAUGCAACUAAAGUGACUUUAAUCUACACUGAACACACGAUAGCUAAGACACAAACUGGGAUUAGAUACCCCACUAUGCUUAGCCCUAAACCCAAAUAGUUAAAAAACAAAACUAUUCGCCAGGGAACUACUAGCUAAUGCUUAAAACUCAAAGGACUUGGCGGUGCCCUAAACCCACCUAGAGGAGCCUGUUCUAUAAUCGAUAAACCCCGAUAAACCCCACCUCUUCUUGCCAAUACAGCCUAUAUACCGCCAUCGUCAGCUCACCCCAAUAGGGACCCAAAGUAGGCAAAACUAUAAAACCAUAAAAACGUUAGGUCAAGGUGUAGCAUAUGAAGAGGGAAGCAAUGGGCUACAUUUUCUAAACUAGAACAUAACGAAUGGCCUUAUGAAAUCUAAGACCUGAAGGAGGAUUUAAUAGUAAAUUAGGAGUAGAGAGCCUAAUUGAAAUAGGCAAUAGGGCGCGCACACACCGCCCGUCACCCUCCUCGAUUAUAUAAACUAAAUAAAUAAUGAAAUUAAUACAUAAUAAAGAGGAGAAAAGUCGUAACAUGGUAAGUGUACUGGAAAGUGCACUUGGAAUAC